CUCGACCUCACAAUUUUUCAUCAAUUUUUGGUACUAAGGAUCUUCAGAUGGUGAAUCUUACUCUUAGGGUUUUGUCUCAUCCUGAUCAGAAUCGUCUUCCUCAUAUUUUUCAGACUCUUAGGGUCCGUCAUCAGAUUGGAGUAUGAUGAGAAGGUUCUUCCUUCUAUUGGUCUUGUCCGAGACAGCUUGAUUAAGAGGUAUUCAUUUUGUUUUUUCUAGUAAUUUUUUUUUCUAGAGAUCUUGAGUUAGGGUUUUAUUCAACGCAUAAAUUGUUUCUUGGUUUUUUUUAUUUUUAUAAUUUGAAUAUUUUGGUGUUAAAUUUGUCAUAAAGAUGCAUUUAGUAGGAAUUUUAUGCUAUUGUUGUUGUUUUCCUUGAUUAUUAUGUUGCAGUAGUUAGUUGAUUGUGUAGUUGAAGUUAUGACUUGUACAUUUUGAUUGAUCCUGAGACUAGCUGUGUGUUUGUUGCGAACAUUUUGACUGCGCUACUGUGUGUAUUUUAUUCUUUGACUUUGUUUUGCUCGGAUUCUAGGGUUUUUGUCAGUUUUUUUGUAUGAUAAUGAUGGCUCUUUCGAUUUCUGCUGCGAUUCCCCUCUUUUUAUUGUGUUUUAGUCUGAUUUCUAUUUUUCGUUUUUUUUUGUUUUUUGUUUUGUUUUUAUUCCUGAUAAUAUGGUUAGGGAUUUCAGUUGAAUAUGAAUAUGACUAGUUUUUUUUUUUUAUUUUUUAUUUUUUAUUUUUUUUUAUAUAUAUAAAGUCCUCAUUUUUUUGGUUGAGAUUAUUUUAUUUUUCUUAGAAAUCGAUUGCCCUUAUAGUUUUAUGAGGGAUUUUAGUUGCGUAGGAAAUUAGUCAGCUAGAUUUACAAGGUUUUGAAAGCAUUUCGAUUUGUUUGGAGAGUUGAAUAAUAUAAGUGUUGUUAUUUAUUGUGUUAAUUAGCAUGUUUUUGGAAAGUGUUGUUUAUGGGAAACAAUAUAUACAAGUACAUUCAUUUGUUUAUGCUGUAUGUUAUUGAUGUUCGAUGAAAUCCAACUGUGGGAAUUGGUUUCCUAUGUUCAAAUGUUUUCCUGCGAGUUCUCUUAGUUAGAUAUCAGAGAAGCUACUAUGUUCUAUGAUCCAUCAUUGAUAAUUCAUGAAGGAGACAAUGGCGUUGUAUACAUAACACUGAAGUCGCAAUAAAGAUACUUAAUCCUGAUAGCUUGCAGGGUAAUGCAGAAUUCAAACAUGAGUUUGAUGUAUUAAGCAAGUUGCGCCAUCCAAACCUGGUGAGUCUCAUUGGUGCAUGCCAUGACUCCUUGGCUCUCAUCUAUCAAGUAUCUUCCUAAUGGAAAUCUUGAAGACCGACUGAAUUACAAAGACAACACUUCCCUGUUACCAUGGUAAACAAGAAUUCGGCUGCAAGCUCAGUGGAUUCAGUUUCUGCCAUAUUAUCUCUAACAACAAGCAGACUCUCACAACUAAUGAAUUAAUGGGAAGAAGCUUGAGGAUAUUGUUCCAUCUUCUCACAAUUGUGAUGCUUCCCAUGUCACUCGUACUGAUUAUCAGCUCCUUGACAUAACUGAGGACGGUUUUGUAAGUAUACUAGUCGCUAAUGUGAUUUUAUUUGGCUUUGUUCUCCAAUGCUUCAUCUGAUGUCAUUUGUUAGCAUGAAAAUCAAGUGGGAUGUAUCAUGUGCACUAUUUUUUGUUUUUCUUUUAAUGGUAAACCGAACAUGCAAUUAAUGAAGUUUUGGAUAUAUGUUACUUUCCUUUCCUUAGAUCACCUUGCCUAUAAAUUCUGGGUUUAUAUUCUUGUUCAUACUCUCAUUUCUUAAGAGAAAAAGAGUCGUUUAUGCAACUAUAGAGCAUGAUUUAUGAAAUCUUUUAUAUAUCUCUAACUUGGGGUUCGGGUUUGAUGUGCAGGGGAGCGAAUUUUGGAUAAGGCUAGAAAAAAUCUGGUUAUCAUGGCGAUGCAAGUUUGGGUAUGGUGACGAGUAAGCCGAGAGUACGACAAGAAAUGCUAUUGAGAUCUUCUCCGGCGGCUUCAAUAGUUCAGUGUGGAAUACACGGCUUCAAUAGCAAUUAGCAAGUGCAUAACUUGUUUUUAAUUUCUUUAAUUGAUAAAAUCAUUUGAAUGUAUGGCUUUUGUUAAUUGUAUUUGAAGUGUAUACUUGUAUAAAUUAUUAUUUAAUAUU